GGUGGUGUAGACGUCGGCUACUUCGACUUGUAAUCGAGAGGUCGGGGGUUCGAAUCCCUCCAUCGCCC
rnacentral:tRNA from 1 species